rnacentral:rRNA from 1 species
UACGUAGGGUGCGAGCGUUAAUCGGAAUUACUGGGCGUAAAGCGUGCGCAGGCGGUUCGUUAAGUCAGCUGUGAAAGCCCCGGGCUUAACCUGGGAAUUGCGGUUGAAACUGGCGAACUAGAAUCUGGCAGAGGGGGGUGGAAUUCCACGUGUAGCAGGUGAAAUGCGUAGAGAUGUGGAGGAACACCGAUGGCGAAGGCAGCCCCCUGGGCUGAGAUUGACGCUCAGGCACGAAAGCGUGGGGAGCAAACAGG